rnacentral:lncRNA from 1 species
CGGCAUUGAAAUACAAAAAGCCUGUGUAAGUGGAUUGAAGAACUCAUCCAUCUUACAAAUUAUGAAUUGAAUGGUUGGAAAGGUGACGAUAAUGGAUCCUCCAAGAUUGCUUCUCUUCCUUUAUCCCUUCCUCAUACUUCACCUUCUUGGUGUAACAGUCCUUGCUCAGACAGACUUCCUUUACCACGACUGCUCAGACAGUGUUGGUAAUUACACCGAUAACAGCACCUACGAGGCAAACCUCAACACCCUCCUCUCCUCUCUCUCUUCAAACAACGAAAUAGAUUAUGGCUUUUACAAUUUCUCCUACGGCCAAAACUCCGACAAAGUUAACGCAAUCGCACUUUGCAGAGGAGACGUAGUAACAGACGCGUGCCGGAGUUGUGUCAAUGACUCUAGGAUUCAACUCACUCAGCUCUGUCCCAACCAGAAGGAGGCAAUAGGAUGGUACGAUAAAUGUAUGUUGCGAUACUCCAAUAACUCCAUAUUCGGAACAGCCCAAACUUCGCUCUCCUUUUACAUGUGGAACCCUGAAAACGCCUCCAAUGUGGAAGAUUUCAAUCAGGUUCUGGGAAACCUGAUGGCCAGCCUCCGAAGCAAAGCUGCGUCCGGAGAUUCGCGUCACAAGUUCGCAACUGGAGAAGCAAAUGUUACGAGUUUCGUAACCAUAUAUGGGCUUAUGCAGUGCACUCCUGAUUUGUCCGAGGCGUCUUGCCGUGAUUGCUUAGAGGGGGCUACCAAUGAAAUUCCAAAUUGUUGUGAUAGCAAAAAAGGAGGGAGAGUUAUUAAACCCAGCUGUAAUUUGAGAUUUGAAACAUACCGUUUCUACGAGUUUACUGCAGCUAACGCGCCCCCACCAGCAGCAACACCCCCACCUUCUCCUCCCUCAGCUGAUCUUGCUCCACCGCCUUUGGCUAAUACCACCUCUACACAAGGUACGUAUCCCUAUCUCCAUGCUUGAAAUUUAAUUGAUUCCAUGAUUGAGUAGAUCCUUGAUUGUAAAAGUUAGGUAUUAAUUAUUCUCUAUCUCCAAGUUCUAAAUCUUAUUGAGUUUAUGAUUCGCUAUUCACAUUAAGCAAAAUGAUUCUACAAAGCGUAGCAAAUUGUUGUAGUUGUCACUUGCCCAGUCCUCAACCCUCAUUCAAGUCUUCUGUGAUCGUCUCGUUCUCCACGGGGUAGAAGAGAAGUCAUAGUUUUGCUUCCUGAUAGUCAAUGGAUCCUUAUGUGAAAAAGAAAAGAAAAGUAAUAUGUUGUAUUAUUCUUUACUAUUUCCGCUGAGAGAAAAUUAAGAAUUCAAUGAUUAAUGAAGGGAUCUCUAAAUAUGUGGGUUCUUCAGGAAAGAAAAGCAACACCUCCCGGACAGUGGUCCUAAUUGUUGUUCCCUCAGCUGUUAUUUCUGUAAUGCUCAUCACCUUCAUCUGCUGCUUUUUAAAAAGGAGGCAAUCAAGGGAAAGCGUUAGCAGUAAGUUAAACAUGCAUUAUCUUUUGUUGACUUUGCUUCUUGCAAUUGAAAUCAUCAUCAUCUCGAAAAAUGACAAGAGACAACUGUUCUCCAAUAACAAUUUAAAAAUAAAAGCACUUCUCUUAUUUUCAGCAAGAAUGAUGGGAAGACUUAUAUAUUAGUUUUUAAAGUCCACCUUUGGAUUAAAUUAAAGCUUAUGUUUGCAAGGGAAAAAAGAAGUCAUAUAUUUAUUCGGUUUCCAAAGCAAAAAAAGAAAUGCUGAAAAUCUUCUCAAAUUCUUCAAAAACAGUAGACUUCCUUUCCCACUUUCGAAUGAGAUUCACAAAGUCAUUUCAACCAUUCGUUCCAUCUUUCAUGAUUUUUUUAUUUUUUAUUUUUUUUAUGUAUAAUUUUAAAUUUUUAAUAAUAAAAUUACAUCUAAGAACUUAAUUUUAAAACAUGAAUUUUUUAAUUUACUUUUUCCCCUCUUACAAAAUAUAUAUAUAUCUUAAAUAUAUUCAUAAAAUCAUUCUAUCUUGAUUGUUGCAUGAUACAUUACAUAAAAUAACUCCAAAAAAUUUAAAAAAAAUACGAAAUCAUAAUUGUAAAGUAUACCACCACUAAUGUGGGCAAAUGGGAUAAAAAGAUUUUAAAUUAAAAAUAAGUUAAUUAUUUUAACUUAAUUCUUAAAGUUAAAAAUAAGUUUAAAGUUGUUAUAAUUAUUUUAUCAAACAUAUUUAAUCUAUUCAAUAAUUUAAAUUAAAUUAUUAAGUUAUUUUAAGUCAUUAAAUUAGUUUACUAAACACCCUUUAAGAAUGAGAUUUUCUAAUGAGGAAUAAUUAAGUUCUAGCUAUUAAAUGCAAGAUUUUGAGUUGAGUAGAAAUGAAAAUGCAGCCAAACACUCCGAUAAAAGUUCCAUUGUACUAGAGAUGCACUUACUUCAUUACACUUGUCUUGUGAAGCUGAGGAUGAAAUUUUGAGCGUGGAAUCCUUGCAAUUCAACCUUGGUCCUAUUAGGAAUGCAACAAAUAACUUUUCUGAUUCUAAUAAGCUUGGACAAGGAGGAUUUGGAGCUGUUUACAAGGUAAUUAAACAUACCAUUAUAUGAAAAAAUAAUAACAAUCUUAACUCAAGCAAUUAAAUUUCUUUAAGAGUUUAUUUUAAGUGUCUUAAAUAUAAUAGUUUGUUAUGAUAUAUUUCAGGGUACACUUUCCAAUGGACANNNNNNNNNNNNNNNNNNNNNNNNNNNNNNNNNNNNNNNNNNNNNNNNNNNNNNNNNNNNNNNNNNNNNNNNNNNNNNNNNNNNNNNNNNNNNNNNNNNNNNNNNNNNNNNNNNNNNNNNNNNNNNNNNNNNNNNNNNNNNNNNNNNNNNNNNNNNNNNNNNNNNNNNNNNNNNNNNNNNNNNNNNNNNNNNNNNNNNNNNNNNNNNNNNNNNNNNNNNNNNNNNNNNNNNNNNNNNNNNNNNNNNNNNNNNNNNNNNNNNNNNNNNNNNNNNNNNNNNNNNNNNNNNNNNNNNNNNNNNNNNNNNNNNNNNNNNNNNNNNNNNNNNNNNNNNNNNNNNNNNNNNNNNNNNNNNNNNNNNNNNNNNNNNNNNNNNNNNNNNNNNNNNNNNNNNNNNNNNNNNNNNNNNNNNNNNNNNNNNNNNNNNNNNNNNNNNNNNNNNNNNNNNNNNNNNNNNNNNNNNNNNNNNNNNNNNNNNNNNNNNNNNNNNNNNNNNNNNNNNNNNNNNNNNNNNNNNNNNNNNNNNNNNNNNNNNNNNNNNNNNNNNNNNNNNNNNNNNNNNNNNNNNNNNNNNNNNNNNNNNNNNNNNNNNNNNNNNNNNNNNNNNNNNNNNNNNNNNNNNNNNNNNNNNNNNNNNNNNNNNNNNNNNNNNNNNNNNNNNNNNNNNNNNNNNNNNNNNNNNNNNNNNNNNNNNNNNNNNNNNNNNNNNNNNNUUUGUUUUCUUUGUUCCAGAUCAAUUUCUAUGACCCCAUUUAUUUUGCAUAUCAAAUCGAUCUUGAUUUUUGCUUUCUUGAAUACUCAUGUGUGAUAUCCCAAACGUCAUCAUUGUUCAAGGAUUAAGAUAAGAAGUUUUGCUUGGGAAUGCUCCAAAGUUUUUAUUGAUCUAGAUAUGUAGUGAUUUGAAUUUAAAAACUGCCCACUGAUGAUGCAAAGUUGUUAAUGCCAGCAAGAGUGCACGUUGACUGGUCGAUUUCCUGGCGUGCCUUCAACCACAUCUGUCCCAAUUAACUCAUUUACAAACAGCAUACUUGACCGACAUUACCGCAGAUAUCUAUUCUUCCAAGUUAUGGUAGUUUAUUCUUAUCCUCCUGUGGAAAAUUGAUAAGCCAAAGUUUUGGCUGGUGUGCGGCCACUCCUGCCCCUAUCAGCUUGUUCAAAACGCGUCUUUGAUCACUCCACUCGAAACCAAACCUUGUCUGAUUUCAUCAAUUUUAUUAAUUAAAUCUUAGCACUUUGAUUGAUUAAAUAUGAGAGGUAGCCACUGGGGGUAGGAAUCAAGGAAAGUAGGAGGACAAUUUUGAAGAAAAAAAUUAAAUAAAAAUUGUGAAUCUAUUGUAUAGGUGUGGGGGGUGGGGGGAUGUGUGGGGGAUGAGAGUAGGACUUUGGUGGGUGAAAUCUAGAAAUUCGAGUGAUGAUUUUCUUAAAAACUUCUAUGGAAAGAGGUGAAAAGGAUAUUCAAUCGAUUUGAUAAAGCCAAAGUCUUUUGAUUCCUGAAACUCCAUGGAUCCGACCUGGUGUUAAUGGUGCAUGUAUGUGAAUGAGAAUGUCAGCUUUUGGUUCAGCAAAGACGUGUCAAACUUGUCCACAUGAUUUUCUAUUUCACAAAACCAGUCACUGGGUACAGUCGAAUGAUGCAGCUCAUUCCAACCCUACAUCAAAGAAAAGAGAUGUUCCCUUGGUGCCAUCCACCAAAGGUACCACCAUAAAUCCCCACCUGAUCAUUGGGAUGCUUGCACCGACAAAGCUUGUGUUUCUUGACUUGGAAUUUAGCUAAAAGGCUACAAACACCGUCAUAACUGACCCAAAAAAGUCAACGAACACUACUAUAUAAAGGGCGAGCCAACCUGUUGUAAAAGAGACGAUGAGAAACACAAAGUUUAUCAGGAAAUAUCGAUUCCAAAUUUGGCGUGGUCCGUGGGAAUGUCUAAGCCUUGCUUAGCUUGAACAAGAAGCCAUCGUGAAAAAUUGAAAGUGAAGUUGAAUCUUUCUAGGGAAGUCUCCCUUUAUUUCUUUCCCUUAGAAAAAUUUUCUUUUCAAUUAUUUAUGUCUUGCACGAUAUUCAAGAAAGAACAAGCUUUGAAGCUUCAGAAAUAUGGGAUUCAAGAAAAUCAAAUACAAAUUGAAAUAGCAUAUUGUAGACCCUCCAUUUUGUCCCUUUAGUACAUGUCUUUAAGUUUACUUCCAGUGUUCCAUAGUGUUUCUUUGAUGGCCCAUUACUACUCGUGUAACUUACCUUUUCUGAGCCACUUUGGAGACUUUGGUUGAGGGGUUUAUCUAGUUCCACAUUAUGACCUUGGUUGUCUUUCAAGUUUAGAUUAGGCUUCACUUAGGUGCACUUUAGGUUAGACUUAGUUAGGUCCACCUAGUCUCACCCUAGGCCUGUAUAGGUAUACCCGGCUCAUUAGGCACUACCUUAGGCCCAUUUGGGCACACUUGACCCAUUAGACAUUCUUAGCGUGACUUGUUUGGUUGCAUGUCUCAUUUAUCUCAUUUAUUUAUUUAUUUUUAUUUUUUAUUAUUAUUGUCAAUCACUUUUAUUUAUUUAGUUAUUUUAUUUUAUUUAUUUGUUCGUUAUCUUGUUAUUUAUUCAUUAAUCUAUUAUUAUUAUUUUAUCAUUCCCUGACUUAUUUAUUAUUUUAUUUAUUUAUCUUUUAUUCAUUUAUUUAAUUUAAUAAUUUGAAGUUUUUUUUAUAGGAAAAUCUACCAAUGGAGCAGUUUUUGAAGAAGGUAAGACUCUUUACGUGAGACGGAGAGUUAGAAGGGAGGAAGACUCCUUAGAGGGAAAGACUUCAAAUUGCUAUAAAAAGCUCUAGUAGAUGGGUGUAGAGGCUACAAGAAGAGAUAUAAGAAAAAAAAAAGUAUUUCAAGGAGAGAUUUUUUUUUUAGGACGCGAAGAAGAAAAUGAGAAGGGGUGACUUCUUGGAUGGUUUUCAGAGGAAGAGGAGGGAAGCAUGCAAAGCGGAGAAAGAGAGAUCUGAGACCACACACGAGUGGGGAUUUUCCUGCUGGAAGGAGGGCUUUGCCAAGUACUUUUGUUAUAGACUCCUUCAUCCCUAUUAUCUUCUUAUUAUAAAUUAAUCUUCACUAAAUUUUGAGUUUCCUUGAUGCUUGGGUUUAGAAGGACAGAGGUUGUACGUUUGUUGGCUUUGGUGCUAGAUUGCUUAUAUGGUUCUUGUUGUUAGCUUUCAUUUUCUUUGAAGUUCCUUAAUUUUGGUUUGAGAAUGAAAGGUUCUUUUUUUAUUAUUAUUUAUUGUGCUUUACAUGAGAAUCGUGGUUAUCUUUGUUUGCUUGAAUCUGCUUGUACUUCUCUCACCAUUCCAAGCCCAUUGAAUAAGCAUGAAAUGUGGCAUUACUGUGUUCUUGUUUUUACUUGUUCUUUUUUUCUCCUUUCUGUUUCAUUCCUUUCUUGUUUCUGCACCUUCCCCUGUUUUUCUUCUUCUGGCGAUCCAUUGAAAAUGCCAACCUAGCCUCCUUGCUUAAGGCGGUCAUCCCUAUGGUUAUCUACGGCUACAAAGAUCAAGUAGAAUAGGGAUGUGAAUUUUGAGCUUCAAACUCUCCCACUUGCCAAUCUGGGAACAUAUGUGGUAAUGGAGUUCUACUAGAGUCAAAUCUUCAGAAACAACAAUAGCAAGGCUUUCCUCAUGACGAGAAAAAACAUUGACGCACAUCAGGGGAUGAUUCAUGAUCCGAAAAAGUUGAUCACUGAUGAUUGGACUGCUCAAAAGACGUAGAGUUUUUUGAUAAAGAUGAGAAUGUUUUCUACUUAAAUGAGAAUGUUAAGAUAUGGACUCACACAUAUUUAACAAUGGUUCAUGACUAAGCUAUUCGCUUUUUUGUAUUUGUUUUGUAUCGGUUUUCUACAGUAUGGGCCACCUUAUGUGUAGAGCCCAGUGCCAUAAUGGGUCUUAGAUGAUAGGCCUAAGACUCGCGAGGCCCAAUAGUCCAAAGGGUAUGGUCCUUAAGGCAUAAAGGGUAUAAAUAUAAGGAAAAAUGUUUCUUCUUAUAUCACAUCUUUUUUAAUAGAAUUGAACUCAUUCUCUCCCACUCCCAUUGCCUGAGAGAAUACAGAGUAAGGUGGUGCCCUCUACAGCCUUAGAAGAUCCGUACCUCUUCAUCAAGCGCAUAAUGGACUCAGGUAUGUUCCAAAGUGGAAGAAGGCAUGUUUUAAAUGAAUUGAUAUAUAUAUAUAUAUAUAUAUAUAUAUAUAUACAUAUAUCCUGUAUCUGUGUUUGGGUGAUCAUGGAGAAUUUAAAAGAUUCAUACAAUUGGUAUCAAAGCAUUUUUGUGGUUCCCAUUUUCACCAAAACACUUUUUUUAAAAACACAAACAAAAGAUCCAAGGAAAACAACAGAAAAUCUGGGCCAAUAAAAUAAUUAAAAAAUGGGUAUUGAACCCGAUGUGAUCUGGAGUCAGACACGCUACGAGUGACAGGGGUGAUGCUAGCGAUGCCAAUGAGGGGUGCAGUUUCGACACCUGUUUGGUGGUCGGAAAAGGCGUUGUUUCAAGCAUUCAAGUUGGCGUCCUCCGUUUAGGGCGCCAUUACAGGCGUUUAAAAGACGUCAUUCAAGCGUUCAAAAGGACGCCGUUCAGGCGCCAUCUGACACCGUUGAGAAGCACACAACGUCGCUAAAACGACUACAUUUUUUGGGCACUGCAGGCACUAUUAGGAUGUUGUUCAAGGUGCCAUUCAAGCGUUCAAAAAAAAAAAAAAAAUACCAUUUUCAAGCGUCGUUCAAGACAACGUUCAGGCGUCAUUCCAGGUGCCAUUUAAGACGAUGUUCAGGCGUCGUUCCAAACAUCGUUUAGGCAUUCAUCCCAGAUGCGGUUCAGGUGCGGUUCAAGCGACGUUCAGGUGCCAUCUCACGUCGGUGAAAAACACCAUUUUCAGGCGUUGUUGCAGGCUCCUUGUGACGCCGCUCUCGGCGUCAUUGGCAAACGGAGAAGAUGACCUCUAUCUUGGGGUAGUUUGGCGGCGUCGCACCGCUACUGGCGAUGUUGGACGAUUGCACCAACGCCGUUUUGACGCCAUGGAUGACACGGCUGCAGGUGACCUCGGGUCGUUUGGGGUGCAGUGAAUAAAGAAUAAUAAAAAAUAAAAAAUUAGGCCAAAGCCCAAUAGUCCAUGACCAUUCCCUUUAAAAAAUAUUGGGCUAAAAACACCCUUGAACCUUACCACGAGGGGCGUUGCCCCCCGCACCCCCCCAACCUAUCGUUCGCCCACAAAAAAAAAAAAAAAAAAAAAAAAAAUACAAGCUUAAAUGGCAAAUGUCAUCACUCCGCUUAGCUCCAUAAUUUGCCCAUUUUUCUCCCAUCAAUUGGUAUCAAGGCUUGUAUAAAUAUACAUGGUUUUAUGCAUCAAUUAAUAUACUUAUAUACAUGGGUUUAUGCAUAAAUAAAUAAAUAAAUAAAUAAUUUUAAUUAAAUUAUUUCUUGUUAUAUUUGUGUUUAAUAUUUUAAAAUAAAUGAAUUAUGUAUAUUUGUUGCCAAAGUGACCUAUAUUAUAUAAUUUAUUUAUUUUAUAAUAUGUAAACAUGUUAUUAUUAUUAUAUAAAAUAAUCAGCCCAAAGGAAGAUUAUUUUAAUGUAAUAAUAAAUAAAGUAUUCAUAAAUAUCCGACAUAUUAAGUAUAUCUUGUAUGUUGUAUGUCAAUCCAAAGACAAGCAUAUUGCUUCGGUUUUAUUGUCAAUAUUUAUGAAUUAAUUUUGAAAAUGAUACCAAUUACAAGUUGAUAUUUUUGUCCAAAGACUUAAUAUUAAUGUUUGUGCUAGGUAUUUUGUAUGAUGUUUAUUUAUUCAUGUGUGUAUGAUGUUUAUGUGACUGAUUGUGAGCUUUAUUAUUAUGAAUUCAACAUCUUCUAUAUCUGCAAAUGUUAAUAACAUUCCUGUGCUUAAUGACACAACUCAAGAAAUGGAAGAAGCACGUUAUAAUUGUGCUUGGGUGCAUGGAUUUAGAUUAUGCAUUAAGAAAUAAUCACCCUCCAGACCUUACUAGUGCCAGCACUAUCGAGCAAAGGUCUACUAUGAAAAAAUGAGAGCGAUCCAAACGCAUGAGUCUAAUAUAAUGAAACACUCAAUUCCAGAAGCUAUAAGGGGUGCAAUACCUGAGGAAACCCAAGCUAAGACAUUCUUGGACCAUAUAGCAAACUGAUUCGCUGCAAACGAAAAAGGUUGAGACAAACACUAUUCUUAGUAAGUUUGUCUUCAUGCGGUACAAAGGAAAAGAGAAUAUAAGGGAAUACAUUAUGGAAAUGUCUAAUCUUGUGACUAGACACAAGACACUAAAGUUAGAAUUGUUGAAAGACAUACUCGUGCACUUGGUCUUGAUCUCUCUGCUUACACAAUUCAAUCCAUUCAAAAUCAGUUACAACACACAAAAGAAAAAAUGGACUUUGAAUGAGCUUACUGAUCAGUGUGUACAAGAGGAUGAGAGAUUGAAACAAGAAAAUAUAGAAAGUGCUCACUUGGCUUCCACAUCUUAGGGAUUUGGUACCGGCAAGAAAAGAAAGAGGGACAAUAAAGGAAAACAAACUGCAUUUUUUGGAACAUCAAAGCAAAAAGUGCAAAAGAAACAAGAUAAGGAGAUCACUUGUUUCUUUUGCAAGAAGGUUGGUCAUAUGAAGAAGACAUAUACCAAAUACGCUGCUUGGCAUGAAAAGAAAAGUACACUUCUCAACUUUGUUUGUUCAUAAAUUAAUUUAGCUAUAGUGCCUACUGACACUUGGUGGAUAGAUACGGGUGCAACUACUCACAUAAAUGUCACGAUGCAGGGUUGCCUAAGGAGCCGAAUGCCAACUGAUGGUGAAAGAUACAUCUAUGUGGGAAAUGGCAACAAGGCUGCAAUCAAGGCUAUUGGUCUUUUUAGAUUACAGUUAGACUCUGGAUGUACUUUGGAUUUGGAAGAGACUUUUGUAGUACCGUCGUUUAAACGAAAUUUAAUUUUUGUUUCAUGUCUGGACAAGUUUGGAUAUUAUUGUUCAUUUAGAAAUGGAAUUGUUAGUCUUUAUCUAAAUUCAAAUGUUAUUGGUACAGGUAGUCUAACAGACAAAUUAUACAAAUUGAAUAUAAAGGCCUCUAAUGGAAAUGAAACCUUGCAUUCAAGUACUUAUGGCAUUCAGCAAAAAUUAGCAAAUGAGAAUUCAUCAAUGUUAUGGCACAGGCGUUUGGGUCAUAUUUCAAAUCAACGUAUUCAAAGGCUUGUGUCAGAAGGAAUUCUUGAUCCACUUGAUUUCUUAGACUUUCAAGUCUGUAUACAGUGUAUUAAGGGUAAACAAACAAAUAUGAGGAAAAAUGAUGCCAACAGGUGCGGUGACGUAUUGGAAUUGAUACAUACGGACAUUUGUGGUCCAUUUCCUACUUCUUUUUGGAAUAGACAACAAUAUUUUAUCACUUUAAUUGACGAUUUCUCACGCUAUGACUAUCUUUAUUUGAUUCAUGAGAAGUCUCAGUCAUUGGAUAUGUUCAAGAAUUUUAAAGCUGAAGUUGAGAACCAACUAAGCAAGAAAAUAAAGGUCGUCAGAUCUGACCAUAGAGGUGAAUAUUAUGGUAGAUAUGACGGAUCCGGUGAACAACGUCCAGGGCCAUUCGCCAAAUAUUUGAUAGAGUGUGGUAUCAUUCCUUAAUACACCAUGUCGGGGACUCUAAGCCAAAAUGGUGUAGUAGAGAGGUGAAACCGUACUCUUAAGGAUAUGGUGAGAAGUAUGAUCAGUCAUUCCACCUUACCAGAAUCACUUUGGGGCGAAGCUAUCAAAACUGUGGUUUAUAUUUUGAACAAAGUCCCAAGCAAAGCAGUAGCCAAAACCCCAUAUGAGUUAUGGAUUGGCAAGAAACCUAGAAUUAAGCAUUUGCAUGUCUGGGGUUGUCCAGCUAAGGCUAGGCCUUACAAGCCAAAUGAAAAGAAAUUGGACUCCAGAAUAGUGAGUUGCUACUUUGUAGGGUAUUCUGAAAGGUCGAGAGGUUUCAAAUUUUAUAAUCCCUCAACUAGAUCCUUCUUUGAAACGAGCAAUGCUAAAUUUAUUGAGGAUGUUGAGUUAAGUGGGAGAGAACCAUUAAGAAAGGUGGUCUUUGAAGAGGAAUCUGUUAGUAUUCUAUUAUUACAACUGGACAUGGUCAUAUUAUGUUUGAUGAAACUAUCCAGAAUGUACAACCAAUAACAAAGAUUGUGGACACGCUUGAGAUUCCUCCUACUCAAGUUAUGAAACCUGUUCAAGUUCAUGAAGAGGUAACUCAACAACCUCAAGAACCUCAAGUACAAGUGCCAUUGAGGAGAUCCACUAGAGAAAGAAAAAGUACAAUUUCAGACUAUUAUGUUGUAUAUCUCCAGGAACAUGAGUUUGACAUGGGUCUGGAAGACGAUCCAAUUUCAGUUAGUCAAGUCAAACAAAGUUCUGACUCUGAAAAGUGGAUAGAAGCCAUGACGGAUAAGAUGAAAUCAAUGAAAGACAAUGGUGUUUGGGACCUAGUAGAGUUGCCUAAAGGUGUAAAACCGAUUGGUUGUAAAUGGAUUUUUAAGACCAAGCGGGAUUCAAAAGACACCAUUGUUAGGUAUAAGGCAUGCCUAGUCGCAAAAGGUUUCACUCAAAAGGAAGGCAUUGAUUAUAAGGAGACCUUUUCACUGGUUUCGUCAAAGGACUCCUUUAGAAUCAUCAUGGCACUUUUAGCUCAUUAUGAUUUAGAGCUGCAUCAAAUGGACAUUAAAACUGCAUUUCUUAAUGGUAACAUUGAUGAGACAAUAUACAUGGUGCAACCGGAGAACUUUGAGUCUAAUGAUUCAAAGCAACUUGUAUGCAGAUUAAAAAAGUCCAUAUAUGGUUUAAAGCAGGCAUCCCGACAAUGGUACCGAAAGUUUGAUCAAGUGAUUAAUUCAUUUGGUUUUAAAGAGAACACCGUUGAUCAAUGCAAAUAUCUCAAGUUCAGUGGGAGAAAAUUCAUUAUCUUGGUGCUAUAUGUUGAUAAUAUUCUGCUUGCUAGUAGUGAUGUGGAACUUUUGAAUGAAACCAAGCGAUUUUUAUCUAGUAAAUUUAACAUGAAGGAUCUUAGUAAUACAUCUUUUGUGUUGGGUAUAUAGAUCUAUAGGGAUCAUUCAAAAGGUAUACUUGGGCUAUCACAAAAGGCCUACAUUGAUAAGGUGUUGAAUAGAUUUGGCAUGAGCAAUUGUGCACCAGGAGACACACCUGUGGCAAAUGACAAUAAAUUUAGUUUGCACCAAUGUCCGAAAAAUGAACUUGAGAAGAAGGAUAUGGAAAGGUUUCCCUAUGCCUCGGCAGUAGGAAGUCUCAUGUAUGCACAAGUUUGUACGCGUCCGGAUAUUGCGUACAUUGUUGGAAUGUUAGGUAGAUAUUUGAGUAACCCAGGUAUGGAUCACUAGAAAAAGGCAAAACAGGUUAUGCGGUAUUUACAGAGAACUAAAGAUUAUAUGCUUACAUAUCAUAGAUCUAGUCAUUUGGAGAUUGUGGGAUAUUCGGACUCCGAUUUUGUGGGAUGUCUUGACAGUAGGAGAUCCACUUCAGGUUACAUCUUCAUGUUGGCUGGAGGAGCAGUUUCAUGGAAAAGUGUUAAACAAACACUUAUUGCUUCUUCCACCAUGGAGGUAGAAUUCAUAGCCUUCUACGAGACAUCAAACCAUGGGAUAUGGUUGCAGAAUUUCAUCACUCAAUUAAUGGGAUUGAGAAACCAUUGAGAAUCAAUUGUGAUAAUAAGGCCGUAGAAUUGUAUUCUAAGAACAACUGAAGUUCUUCAAAGUCCAAACACAUUGACAUUAAGUUCUUGGUUGUGAAAGAAAGAGUUUAGAGUCUUCAAGUAUCAAUUGAACACAUAAGCACAAACUCCAUGGUUGCAGAUCCGCUCACUAAAGGUUUACCACCCAAAGUAUAUCAUGAACAUGUCACACAUAUGGGUGUUGUACACAUUGAUGAUGUGCUAGUAUAGUGGGAGUUUGUAUUUGUUUUCUUGAUGUGAUAUUAUGUUUAUGUUAUUUGUACAGACCUUGAUUUUAAAGACUACUGUAUUUGAAUACUCUAAAUUGAAAUGAUGACUUUCAAAAGCAGUUUAACAUCAAGUGUUGAAAGUGGAAUUUGACUAUUUUUUAGUCAUAAAGUAGGACCAAUUGGAAAUAGACAUAUUAAAGAUCACAUUCUAUGUAAUUUCCAUGCUACACAUCCAUACUUGAUCUAUGUUGCUAAUUUUGUUAAUGUUGUGAUCAUUGAUGGGUAUAGUUAUAAUUAUGAUUAACAAAGGCCGCUUUGAUCCUGUGUUAGCAUAAUUAGUAGACCGGAUUGUUUAAGAAUAUUUAGAUAGAAUAGCAAGAUGAGCUCAAUAAAGUACUAUCAUGAACAUUGUUUUGUAAUAUAUGUGGUCCAAGUGGGAGAUUGUUAAGAUAUGGACUCACAUAUAUUUAACAAUGGUUCAUGACUAAACUAUUCGCCUUUUCGUAUUUGUUUUGUAUUGGUUUUCUACAGUAUGGGCCACCUUAUGUGUAGAGCCCAAUGCUAUAACAAGUUUUAGAUGAUGGACCUAAAACUCGCGAGGCCCAAUAGUCUAAAGGGUAUGGUCCCUAAGGCAUAGAGGAUAUAAAUAUAAGGAAAAGUGUAUGUUCUUAUAUCACAUCUUUUUUAAUAGAAUUGAACCCAUUCUCUCCCGUUCCCAUUGCCUGAGAGAAUACAGAGUAAGGUGGUACCCUCUAUAGCCUUAGAAGAUCCGUACCUUUUCAUCAAGUGCAUAAUGGACUCGGGUAUGUUCCAAAGUGGAAAAGGACAUGUUUUAAAUGAAUUGAUAUAUAUAUAUAUAUAUAUCUUGUAUCUGUGUUUUGGUGAUCAUGGAGAAUUUAAAAGAUUCAAAUAGGGAAGUCAUCGACUUUUGCUUAAUGGAAUUGGAUAAAGGAGAAGAAACUUCAAGGAACUAGGGAGCAAUGUGUAUGGAAACUUUACGGCUUUUGCAAAGUUGCAGUUCCUAUAGAAUCAAAUGAGGCUUCAGGUUCAUUUUUCGAUUACGAAAAUGUGACACGAUAUAAUUAUAGUGCUAAGAAGGCAUGGCGUGUCAAUACAGAAUAGCAUUGUUUGAAACAAGGUCUGUCAGUGAUGAUAGUAAACCCGAGAAUAGCCUCACUUGUAUGCAAUUUCUGCAUACGUGAUUAUCUUUCGGCGUACCCCCACAUGUGCAUGCGUCACAAUAAGGCUAAAGAGAGACUGUUUCCAUGGAGGUGACGAAUUAAAUGACAUUCCCUCUAAUCAGCAGACCGCAUCCUUGUGACAAUGAAGGAUCUCUACAAUCUCAUGAUUGGAAGAUUCAGGAAGAAGCUUCAAAGGCAAUGAUGGUUCUGACUACGUAGCUCUAAAGGCGUCGGAUAUAAAAGCUGCAAAAAUGGGUUGGGUUCAUUUGAAAUGAGCCAUUUUAGUGGCAACAUGCUUUCUAGUUAAGGGUCAAGUUAUUCCGUACAGUUCGGAUCUAUUGAUAGAUGGGUGCAUGUAAGGGUCUCCAACAGGCUGGGCCGGGCCUUGGUAUAUCUAAGGCCCGUGGCCCAGCCCGUGGGCCCUCAAGCUGGGCUGGGCUGGCGGGCCGGGUUGCGGGCUGAGGUAAAAAUUUAAAUAAUUUUCAGUUUUGAAGGGAAGGGGAUUCAAACCCCUUCCCUUAUGGAACCACAAGGGAGCUAGCUACCAACUGAGCUGACCCUUUUUUGUGUAACUAUUUUGCAUUAGUUAUAUAUAUAUUAGAAAUGUUGUAUGAUUUUUGAAAAAAAAUAAAAGUGAGUUGGCGAGCCUACGGGCGGGCUAGCCCGCAGGCCGCGGGCUUUUUGGAGACCCUUAGGUGCAUGUGGCCCAAAUUCAUUACUGUUGGUGUAAUUAAAACCAUCUCGAUCUACCCAAGGGAUUUUGCACUCCGGGCCCUCUCUUUUGCAUGGCCACCAUCUGCCCCUCCUUUUAAUCCCGAGCCUCGGACAGAUAAACUUGUCAAGUGAGCUGCCAAUAUUAACCUAGAAAGAUGCAUAUGUUGAUAAAGUGGCUCAUUCCUUCAAAUACCUCAAACCAGAAAAUGAGUUCAUGUACUUCUGAUGGCGGUAGUUCAUUUCCACUAAAUUAACGAUCCUUGAAGACGCAUCCAACACAGCUCUGCCCAUGGUGAGGUUGAUCAGUUUGGUGCCAAUGAAAACUGCAACAUGGGUUCUGGCACAUUUAGGAAUGUGACAUGGAAAUCUGAUCUGUCACAGGUUUCUGGAAAUUAUGGAACUCAGAUUAGUGGUCGUCAUGGUGGGCAAGUUGGCUACGAUGGUUGAUAGGGUACUCGGUUUCCUUGGAUUCAGAGUGGCAAGAUAGAAAAGAACAUAGUGAUUGGCAAUGGCAUGGAUAAAGAAAGCUAUGAGAGGGUCGACAGGAUACUCCAACGAUUUUUCGGGCCUUCCAAAGACGAUAAGGGCUUACAGGCCCACCACAGGGCAAACUUAAAGGCCUGUAUACUAAGUUCGAGAAACAAGGCCUAAACUUGGGAGGCCCAGUUUGGUUCUCUUCAGACAUCUUAAAGCACCAGCCUAGAGAGACAAGGCUCCCUUUACCCCCAACUAAAUUUGCAGAAGGCCCAAUAGGUCUAUUCUCUAAGCGGUUGACCGGGCCAUUAAAACCCUCUCCAGUUACUUGGAGAAAGGAGACUUUAUCAUUGAUGGUAGCAACGAGCGGCAUGAGAACACUGAGAGGAGAGAGAAAGCCAUGGUUGAACUGGGUCUGCUCUAUCUUGGCAUGGGAGUUUCAGGUGGUGAAGAGGGUGAUCGUCAUGGGCCAUCUUUGAUGCUUGGAGGUUCAUUUGAGGCUUACAAGUAUGUAGAAGAUACCCUUCUUAAAGUAGCUGCUCAAGUUCCUAAUAGUGGCCCCUGUGUGACUUACAUUGGCAAAGGAGGUUCUGGAAAUUUCGUUAAGAUGGUUUACCGUCUCUCUGAUCAGACUUCUCUUAUCGGCUCUGAUGACCGUCUUUCCGGCCGUCGUCGCCGCACUUCUAGAGUUUUCCACCUUGGUCGCUGGCGGCUGUCACUUCGUCUGAGAUAAUGGCCUCCUUCUACCCUCCGAAACUUCUAGGUUCUUCUGUCCCAGUGGUGAUGUUGACGAUGAUACCCACGAAUCUGCCGUGACCAGAUGGGUUGUUCUGAUAGCUGGGUCUAACGACUACUGGAAUUCCAGGUACCAGGCUGAUAUUUACCAUGCUUGUCAACUCUUGAAGGAAGGUGGAUUGAAAGAUGAAAACAUCAUUAUUUUCAUGUAUGAUGACAUCUCAUUCAAUGAAGAGAACCCUAGGCCUGGAAUUAUCAUAAACAGCCCACAUGGCGAAGAUGUUUAUGAAGGUGUACCAAAGGACUAUACUGGAGAAGAUGUUUUUGUUGAUAACUUUUUUGCUGUUAUCCUUGGCAACAAAACGGCUCUUUCAGGGAGUAGUGGGAAGAGUUCAUUCAUCAAUAAGAUCACUAGGGUUGAUGUGGAUCUUCAGCCCUAUGCAUUUACUACGAAGUCACUCUUUGUAGGUCACACAGACUAUAAAUACCUAAGAUACUAAGUGAUAGACACACUAGGGAUAUUGGGUCGGCCAUUUGAAGAUCGUAACAUUAUUGAGAUGUGUAGUAUCACAGCUUUGGCACACCUACGAGCUGCUGUCUUGUUUUUCUUGGACAUCUCAGGUUCAUGUGGGUACAGCAUUGCUGCACAGGCAGCUCUUUUUUUUCACAGCAUCAAGUCUAUGUUUAUGAACAAACCACUCAUCAUUAUCUGCAACAAGACUGACUUGCAGCCAUUGGAGGGUAUAUCAAAAGAAGACAUGAAGUUGGUCAUGCAGAUGAAAGUUGAAGCUAUGAAGACUGUCAUAGGUCAAGGAGGUGAUCCUUUGAAUGACGAAGGGGUGCUGUUGACCAUGAGUACUUUGAUUGAGGAGUGGGUGGUUUCAGUGAAAAACGCAGCUUGUGAGAGGUUAUUGGAUUAGAGGGUGGAACUGAAGAUGAAGUCUAAGAAGAUGAAUGACUGCUUGAAUCAGUUUCAUGUUGCAGUGCCAAAACCUUGAGACCAAAAGGAGUGGCCACCCUGUAUACCUCAGGCAGUUUUGGAAGGUAUGGCAAAGCAACCAGCAGCCGAAAAGGAAAAUAGGAAGCUUGAAAGGGAUUUGGAGGAAGAUAAUGGUGGUGCCAGUGUGUACUCUGCUAGUUGCCCUUAAUAAUGAUACAGAUGGCUUCAAUCCGCUUAUUCAACCACGACAAGUAAUCUUUGGGAUCAGUUCAUGCAAUUAAUGGUAAAUAUGCAGAGGAGCAGUAGGGUUGAAUAAUUCAACACCAAGUCAAGGAAUUCCUAGCAAGCCCCAUCCUCAAUUCAGGUAGUAAGUCAAGGAGACAUCCGCUUGUAGUCACAUUAUCAGUUCCCUUCUCGACUCGGGUCUGCAAUACUCAAGUAACGAGGACCUAGCAAUAGCUGCAAUCACCAGCAGUAGUCUCAAACUCACUCCCAGGUUCUAUCCCAGCAUGGCCACCUUGGUGCAUACCUCUUGCUCUUCCUAUUCCUCUAUUUGUUUCUUUGAUUGAGAAUUUACAAUUUUGAAUUGAAUUUUCAAAUCCAUCUUCAACUGAAAAAUUCCAGUUUUAAAAAUCCAUCUUUGCAUUUCUUCUAGGCAAUAAAUGCAUUCCAGUUUUAAACCUUCUCCUGAUUUACACUUCUCUAAUUAAGCUAAUCAAGUUAAUCAUUCUUCUCACAUUUUCGGACAACCUUAUCCUAUUUCUCUGUUUCUAACUGAGUUGACCACAACCCUUUAGCUCGUUAUUUCUAUUUUUUGAGUCUUUGAAAUACAUAAAUCCUGUGUAAGAAUUAAUUAAGUAGAUUGAAGAGCUCAUUGAUCCAUCUUACAAAUUAUGAACUCAAGGGUCGGAAAGAUGACGAUAAUGGAUCCUUCAAGAUUGCUUAUCUUCCUUUAUCAUUUCCUCACACUUCACCUUCUUGGUGUACCAGUCCUUGCUCAGCCAGACUUCCUUUACCACUUCUGCAUAGAGGGUGCUAGCAAUUACACAAGUAAUAGCACCUACAAGGCAAACCUCAACACCCUCAUCUCUUCUCUCCUAUCAGACAACGCAAUCGACUACGGCUUUUAUAAUUUCUCCGUCGGCCAAAACUCUGAAAGAGUCAACGCAAUUGGGCUUUGCAGAGGAGACGUUACACCAGAUGUGUGCCGGAGUUGUAUGUCUCAAUGACUCCAGGCUUCAACUCACUGAGCUUUGUCCCAAU